AAAGCCUGACGCAGCGACGCCGCGUGCGGGAAGAAGGCCUUCGGGUUGUAAACCGCUUUCAGGAGGGACGAAGCCACUCGGGUUAAUAGCCCAGAGGGUGACGGUACCUCCAGAAGAAGCCCCGGCUAACUACGUGCCAGCAGCCGCGGUAAUACGUAGGGGGCAAGCGUUGUCCGGAUUUAUUGGGCGUAAAGCGCGUGUAGGCGGCCAGGUAGGUCAGCUGUGAAAACUCGAGGCUUAACCUCGAGAUGUCGGCUGAAACCAUCUGGCUAGAGUCCGGAAGAGGAGAAUGGAAUUCCCGGUGUAGCGGUGAAAUGCGCAGAUAUCGGGAAGAACACCCGUGGCGAAGGCGGUUCUCUGGGACGGUACUGACGCUGAGACGCGAAAGCGUGGGGAGCGAACAGGAUUAGAUACCCUGGUAGUCCACGCCGUAAAUGAUGGGUGCUAGGUGUGGGCGGUGUCGACUCCGUCCGUGCCGAAGCUAACGCAUUAAGCACCCCGCCUGGGGAGUACGGCCGCAAGGCUA
rnacentral:rRNA from 1 species